rnacentral:rRNA from 1 species
GACGAACGCUGGCGGCGUGCCUAAUACAUGCAAGUUGAGCGCUGAAGGUUGGUACUUGUACCAACUGGAUGAGCAGCGAACGGGUGAGUAACGCGUGGGGAAUCUGCCUUUGAGCGGGGGACAACAUUUGGAAACGAAUGCUAAUACCGCAUAAAAACUUUAAACACAAGUUUUAAGUUUGAAAGAUGCAAUUGCAUCACUCAAAGAUGAUCCCGCGUUGUAUUAGCUAGUUGGUGAGGUAAAGGCUCACCAAGGCGAUGAUACAUAGCCGACCUGAGAGGGUGAGCGGCCACAUUGGGACUGAGACCCGGCCCAAACCCCUACGGGAGGCAGCAGUAGGGAAUCUUCGGCAAGGGACGAAAGUCUGACCGAGCAACGCCGCGUGAGUGAAGAAGGUUUUCGGAUCGUAAAACUCUGUUGGUAGAGAAGAACGUUGGUGAGAGUGGAAAGCUCAUCAAGUGACGGUAACUACCCAGAAAGGGACGGCUAACUACGUG